UUUCCGUAGGUGAACCUGCGGAAGGAUCAUUAAAGUUAUAGUCCCCCGGCCCCUCCGGGCUGGGGUCUUCUAUACCACCCUUUGUUUAUUACACCUUUGUUGCUUUGGCAGGCCUGCCCUCGGGCUGCUGGCUCCGGCCGGCUCGUGCCUGCCAGAGGACCUAAACUCUGUUUGUAUAUGAGGUCUGAGUACUAUAUAAUAGUUAAAACUUUCAACAACGGAUCUCUUGGUUCUG
rnacentral:misc_RNA from 1 species